GGCACGGCCGAGGGGGCUGGGCUGGGCUGGGCAGGCCGACGACGGCAACACCGGGCGCCCGCCC
rnacentral:miRNA from 1 species